rnacentral:lncRNA from 1 species
CCGUGGUCAGUGUCCCUGCAGUUGACAGCCCAGGGGCAGCAGGGGUCAGCGGCUGUCCCUGUGCAAGCCCUUUGACCGGGGAAGCAGAGUGCUCGGUCAGCGCCUCUGGGAGCUGUCUGCAGAGCCUGCCGGGCCGGGAGCGCCUUUCUCCAGGUCUGAGCUGCAGACUCACAGGCAUCUCCCUCACUGGGAUCAGCAGGCCUCCAGUCCGGGCGGAGAACGGCAAUGCUCUCCCUUCUUCCCUCCGUUCCAGCCUCCCUGCUGGUCUGUUGGGAUUCCUAGCCACGAGCCGCGCUCACACGCUCUGGUCCAGUCAGACGCCUGGAGCACCCAAGUGUCCCUAAGGUGCACACAGACUACAGUUGAGGACACUGGAGGAGACAAGACACCAGCGUCUCCCAGGCUGCGAAUCUCCCUCAACAGAGGCUCCUGACAGUGCUCCCGUCACGCUGGCUUCCAAGCGGCCGACCAUGAGUGCCAGGACAGGUUCUGACUCCUCAGCCCUGAGUGAACAGCCACUUAGACUCCUCAGGCACCCCUCCCUCGCCUGGCCCCAUCAGAGAAGUUAAUUUUAUUACAGUGCGGGUGGGUUGAGGCUUGGGAGAAAUGCCUGGUCUAGACGUGAGACGACGCUCACACAGACUCGAGCCUUGAGUGUGCACACGUUUAGAAGACACUGAUCAACAGGUGCUGUCGUCGGCGCCUCGCGGAAGCCGCCAGGUCUACUCAGGACUGGACGAGUACUUAGGGUUGAGUCAGAUCGGCCGGCCAGGGAGGACCAGCUUGCGUCCUCCCUUCUGCCUCCUUGGGUUGCUCGCUGUGACCACAGGCAGACCCAGCCAUCUGCAUCGUGAUGGACAAUGCACUCAGGUGCAAACAGUAACCGGGACUUGCCUUCCACAUCUCCACUCCUCACACCGGAUGGAGGCACCGUGACCACGCUCCAGUGUUUCCCUGCCGCGAAGGGGGCAGCAGGGCGAGAGACACAGGAGGAGUCAGGCUGUGGCGCACCCCUCGGACAAGGAAGCCAAGACAGCACCUGCCACUCGUCUCUUCUUCCUCGGGUACUUGGACUUCCUGAUGAACCUGACCAAAGCACCAGAGAAAGGACUUCAGCUCCCUGGCCGUCUCGCCUCCUCCUGCCACAGGGCUGCUCUGUCCGGGAUUCACUCGGAAAUACUGAACGUCCCCAGGGCCUGGCUGCUGGCCACUCCUGCUCUGGGGAGGCCGCUCGGCUCUGCCCUUGAGCCUGACGUGGGCUGGGAGACCAAUCCUCGGCUCUGCCCUUGAGCCUGACGUGGGCUGGGAGACCAGUCCUCGGCUCUGCCCGUUCCUCCUCAUGUGCACGGUACUCCACGCUGCUGCCUCGGUCCUCUGCGCCCAGCCUGCACUGCCCGGCCAGUCUGGCCUGGGGAGUCCCUCUCUAAGCAAAGCAGGUGCGAGGCUCACUGGACUCCACCACAUCUCG